AGAUAUAACACUGCAAUAUUUCUCAAAACACGUAGCCUUCCGUGGCUGGUGUCAACUGACUGGGGUUUUAAGCCUUCUGGAUAAGACCGCGUCGUGUAGGAAACGGUUGCGACGUUUCGCUUGCCCUGUUGGAAGCAUCUUCAGGGAGCUUCCACAUCUUGCGAAGGCUGGAUGUGAACUGGAGUGUUGGACCAGGGUAGGCAUAUUUAUAGGCAGGGUCGGAGGUCGUAGCGGGUGGUCCCGUUGAUGUCAUGCUUUUUGAGUAAUCUAUUUAUCUUGUCGGUGGUAUCUUUUACGUAGGGGAGGUAGGAUAUUCUACCUGGUUUGGUCGUUGUAUGCAAUAUUUCAUAUCGUGGAAGCGCAGUAUUCUUACUUAGUCACUUGUCACACUAAAGCUAUUCUUGGAAUGAAACCACAACCCUGUUUGGGCUAAUAUUUGCCUAAUAAAUUGUAUAUUUCGUAUUAACAGGUGAGGAUGCCAUGGAAAACUGCAGAGAGACUAUAGCAGACAUUUCCAUGAAACUCCAAAACGUCUCCUGCACAGAAAGCACAAGAUUUUUGGAAACCUUUCGGAAGGAGAUCACAUCAUUAACAGAGCGCAAACCAAUUGAUAAAAUUUACAUUGGUGUGUUUGGGAGGACAGGAGCUGGAAAGAGCUCCUUGAUCAAUGCGAUUGUGAAUGAAAAACAUCUUCUACCAUCUGGGGGGUUUCAAGCCUGCACUUCCGUCAUCGUGUACGUAGAGGCCAACACUAAGUCUGACAAAUACAGAGCAGACAUUGAUUUAAUGAGCAAACAGGAGUGGGAUGCGGAGCUACGCUUCCUGCUGGAAACACUCUCUAAUGAUCAGGAGGACAGAACUGAUGCUGACACUGAGUACGA